rnacentral:rRNA from 1 species
CCUACGGGUGGCAGCAGUUAGGAAUAUUGGUCAAUGGGCGAGACUCUGAACCAGCCACGUAGCGUGAAGGAUGACUGCCCUAUGGGUUUUAAACUUCUUUUAUAAAGGAGUAAAACGCGGCACGUGUGCCUGUUGGCAUGUACUUUAUGGAUCAGGAUCGGCUAACUCCGUGCCGGCAGCCGCGGUUAUACGGAGGAGCCGAGCGUUAUCCGGAUUUAUUGGGUUUAAAGGGAGCGUAGAUGGGUUGUUAAGUCAGUUGUGAAAGUUUGCGGCUCAACCGUAAAAUUGCAAUUGAUACUGGCAGUCUUGAGUACAGUUGAGGUAGGCGGAAUUCGUGGUGUAGCGGUGAAAUGCGUAGAUAUCACGAAGAACCCCGAUUGCGAAGGCAGCUUACUAAACUGUGACUGACAUUGAGGCUCGAAAGUGUGGGUAGCAAACAGGAUUAGAUACCCCUGUAGUC